UGGGGAAUAUUGCACAAUGGGCGCAAGCCUGAUGCAGCGACGCCGCGUGGGGGAUGACGGCCUUCGGGUUGUAAACUCCUUUCGCCAGGGACGAAGCGUUUUGUGACGGUACCUGGAGAAGAAGCACCGGCUAACUACGUGCCAGCAGCCGCGGUAAUACGUAGGGUGCAAGCGUUGUCCGGAAUUACUGGGCGUAAAGAGCUCGUAGGUGGUUUGUCACGUCGUCUGUGAAAUUCCACAGCUUAACUGUGGGCGUGCAGGCGAUACGGGCUGACUUGAGUACUGUAGGGGUAACUGGAAUUCCUGGUGUAGCGGUGAAAUGCGCAGAUAUCAGGAGGAACACCGAUGGCGAAGGCAGGUUACUGGGCAGUUACUGACGCUGAGGAGCGAAAGCAUGGGUAGCAAACAGG
rnacentral:rRNA from 1 species